rnacentral:rRNA from 1 species
AGCUAAGUCGGGAAGGGAUAAACGCUGAAGGCAUCUAAGCGUGAAGCCCACCUCAAGAUAAGAUUUCCCAUAGAGUAAUCUAGUAAGAUCCCUUGAAGAACACAAGGUUGAUAGGUGAGAGGUGUAAGUGUGGUAACAUAUUUAGCUGACUCAUACUAAUAGAUCGAGGGCUUGACCAA